rnacentral:rRNA from 1 species
UACGGAGGGGACUAGCGUUGUUCGGAAUUACUGGGCGUAAAGCGCACGUAGGCGGAUUUGUAAGUCAGGGGUGAAAUCCCGGGGCUCAACCUCGGAACUGCCUUUGAUACUGCAAAUCUCGAGUCCGGAAGAGGUGAGUGGAAUUCCUAGUGUAGAGGUGAAAUUCGUAGAUAUUAGGAAGAACACCAGUGGCGAAGGCGGCUCACUGGUCCGGUGCUGACGCUGAGGUGCGAAAGCGUGGGGAGCAAACAGG